rnacentral:lncRNA from 1 species
CUGAGCUCGGUUAGGGCCUCACUUCCCUGCUUCCACACCUCAGGGAGGCCUCGGUGAUUUUGCCAGAGCCUCAGCCUCCAUCGCUCUGUAACCUGCGGGUAUUGGAUGAUUCGUAGCUAAGACUUCGCGACACCCUUGAAGCUGAGAAAUGGAACCCUUAACAUUCAGGGAUGUGGCCAUAGAAUUCUCUCCAGAAGAGUGGAAAUGCCUGGACCCUGCCCAGCAGAAUUUGUAUAGAGAUGUGAUGUUGGAGAACUACAGAAACCUGGUCUCCCUAGGCCGGGCAUGGUGGCUCACGCCUGUAAUCCCAGCACUUCGGGAGGCUGAGGCGGGUGGAUCACCUGAGGUCAGGAGUUCAAGACCAGCCUGACCAACAUGGAGAAACCCUGUCUCCACUAAAAAUAGAAAAUUAGCCAGGUGUGGUGGCGCAUGCCUGUAAUCCCAGCUACUCAGGAGACUAAGGCAGGAGAAUCACUUGAACCCGGGAGGCGGAGGUUGCAGUGAGCCGACAUUGUGCCACUGCACUCCAGCCUGGGUGACAGGGCGAGACUCCAUCUCAAUAAAUAAAUAAAUAAAUAAAUAAAUAAAUAAAUAAA